rnacentral:tRNA from 1 species
GGAAGUGUAGCUCAAUGGUAGAGGGCUUGCCUAGCAUGCAAAAGUCCUUGGGUUCAACCCUAACACGACCA